rnacentral:rRNA from 1 species
GACGAACGCUGGCGGCGUGCUUAACACAUGCAAGUCGAACGGUAAGGCCCUUCGGGGUACACGAGUGGCGAACGGGUGAGUAACACGUGGGUGAUCUGCCCUGCACUUCGGGAUAAGCCUGGGAAACUGGGUCUAAUACCGGAUAGGACCCUGGGAUGCAUGUCCUGGGGUGGAAAGCUUUUGCGGUGUGGGAUGGGCCCGCGGCCUAUCAGCUUGUUGGUGGGGUGAUGGCCUACCAAGGUGACGACGGGUGGCCGGCCUGAGAGGGUGACCGGCAACACUGGGACUGAGAUACGGCCCAGACUCCUACGGGAGGCAGCAGUGGGGAAUAUUGCACAAUGGGCGCAAGCCUGAUGCAGCGACGCCGCGUGAGGGAUGACGGCCUUCGGGUUGUAAACCUCUUUCAGCACCGACGAAGCGCAAGUGACGGUAGGUGCAGAAGAAGGACCGGCCAACUACGUGCCAGCCGCCGCCGUAA